rnacentral:lncRNA from 1 species
AGUCCAUCAUCACCAGGCUACAGUCCAUCAUCACCUGGAUACAGCCCCACUUCACCAGGGUACAGUCCCACAUCCCCUGGGUACAGCCCCACAUCACCUGGGUACAGUCCUACCUCUCCAACAUACAGCCCUAGCUCUCCAGGAUACAGUCCUACGAGCCCAGCUUAUUCACCUACAAGUCCAUCCUACUCUCCCACGUCACCCAGCUACAGUCCCACAUCACCCAGCUACAGCCCAACUUCUCCCAGCUACAGCCCUACAUCUCCCAGCUAUAGCCCCACUUCACCUGCAUACAGCCCAACAUCUCCAGCAUACAGCCCCACUUCACCUGCCUAUAGUCCCACUUCUCCAUCAUAUAGUCCAACAUCACCUUCCUACAGUCCAACUUCGCCUUCCUACAGCCCCACAUCACCCUCUUACAGCCCGACAUCUCCCUCAUAUAGCCCUACAUCACCUGCUUACAGCCCUACCUCUCCUGGGUACAGCCCCACAUCACCCUCUUACAGCCCAACAUCAC